UCUCUAUGGGUCUCUAUGGGGUCUCUAUGGAUCUCUAUGGGUCUCUAUGGGGUCUCUAUGGGGUCUCUAUGGAUCUCUAUGGGUCUCUAUGGGGUCUCUAUGGGGUCUCUAUGGGGCUCUAUGGGUCUUUAUGGGGUCUCUAUGGGGCUCUAUGGGUCUCUAUGGGGUCUCUAUGGGGUCUCUAUGGGGCUCUAUGGGUCUCUAUGGGGUCUCUAUGGGGUCUCUAUGGUCCCAUUCUGCUCUAUGGGGCUCUAUGGGGUCUCUAUGGGUCUCUAUGGGGUCUCUAUGGGGCUCUAUGGGUCUUUAUGGGGUCUCUAUGGGGUCUCUAUGGGUCUCUAUGGAGUCCCUGUGGGGCUCAAUGGGGUCUCUAUGGGUCUCUAUGGGGUCUCUAUGUGGCUCUACGGGUCUCUAUUGGUCUCUAUGGGGUCUCUAUGGGUCUCUAUGGGGUCUCUGUGUCUCUAUGGGUCUCUAUGGGUCUCUAUGGGGUCUCUAUGGGUCUCUAUGGGUCUCUAUGGGACUCUAUGGGGUCUCUAUGAGGCUCUAUGGGGUCUCUAUGGGUCUCUAUGGGUCUCUAUGGGUCUCUAUGGGACUCUAUGGAUUCUCUAUGAGGCUCUAUGGGGUCUCUAUGGGUCUCUAUGGGUCUCUAUGGGACUCUAAGUGGCUUUAUGGGGCUCUGUGGGGUCUCUAUGGGUCCCAAUGUUCUCCUUGACUCUCUAUGGGACUCUAUGGGGUCUAUGGGUCUCUAUGGGGUCUCUAUGGGUCCCAAUGUUCUCUUAGGUUCUCUAUGGGGCUCAGUGGGGCUCUGUGGGGUCCCAUAUUGCCCCCCACUGUCCCCAUUAUCCCCCAUUAUCCCCAUUAUCCCCAUUAUCCCCAUUGUCCCCAUUAUCCCCCAUUNNNNNNNNNNNNNNNNNNNNNNNNNCUCAGUGUCACCCUGACCCCAAAGUGGGGGUCCCCAUUCCAUUAUGGGGGUCUCGGUGUCACCCUGACCCCAUUGGGGGGGGGGUCCCCAUUCCAUUAUGGGGGUCUCAGUGUCACCCUGACCCCAAAGUGGGGGUCCCCAUUCCAUUAUGGGGGUCUCAGUGUCACCCUGACCCCAAAGUGGGGGUCCCAGUCCCAUGGUGUCCCCAGGGUGGGGGUCCCAACAUCACCACGACCCCAUGGUGGGGGUCCCAGGUCCACAAUGGGGGUCUUGGGGUCACCUUGUCCCCAAGGGGGGGGGGGUCCCAACCCCAAGAUUGGGGUCCCAACGUCACCAUGUCCCCAUAAUGGGGGUCCCAACCCCAAGAUGGGGGUCCCAACAUCACCAUAUCCCCAUGAUGGGGGUCUCAGGUCCAGGAUGGGGUCCCACCUUCAGAAUGGGGGGUCUCAGGUCCAGGAUGGGGGUCUUGGUGUCACCUUAUCCCCAAGGGGGGGGGGUCCCAACCCCAAGAUUGGGGUCCCAAUGUUACCAUGUCCCCAGAAUGGGGGUCCCAAUGUCGCCAUAAUGGGGGUCCCACCUCCAGGAUGGGGGUCCCAAAGUCACCAUGUCCCCAAGAUGGGGGUCCCAGGUCCAGGAUGGGGGCCCCAAAGUCACCAUGUCCCCAUGAUGGGGGUCCCAAUGUCCCCAUAAUGGGGGUCCCAGCUCCUUGAUAGGGGUCUUGGUGUCACCUUAUCCCCAAGGGGGGGGGGGUCCCAACCCCAAGAUGGGGGUCCCACCUUCAGUAUGGGGUCCCAUGGGGGUCCCAACCCCAAGACGGGGGUCCAUACCUUCAGAAUGGGGUCCCAUGGGGGUCCCCAACCCCAGCAAUGGGGUCCCACCUUCAGAAUAGGGGUCCCAUAGGGGGUCCAACCCCAAGAUGGGUCCAACUUCGAAGUCGGGGGUCCCAUGGGGGUCCCCAACCCCAAGAUGGGGGUCCCACCUUCAGAAUGGGGGUCCCAUGGGGGUCCCAACCCCAAGAUGGGGGUCCCACCUUCAGAAUGGGGGUCCCAUGGGGGUCCCAACCCCAAGAUGGGGUUCGCGCCACCUUGCAGAAAUGGGGGUCCCAUGGGGGUCCCAACCCCAAGACGGGGGUCCCAACCUUUCAAGAAGGGGGUCCAUGGGGGUCCCAACACCCAAAUGGGUCCCACCUUCAGAAUGGGGGUCCCAUGGGGGUCCAACCCCAAGAUGGGGG
rnacentral:lncRNA from 1 species